rnacentral:rRNA from 1 species
UACGUAGGGCGCAAGCGUUGUCCGGAAUUAUUGGGCGUAAAGAGCUCGUAGGCGGUCUGUCGCGUCGGUUGUGAAAACACAAGGCUCAACCUUGUGCCUGCAAUCGAUACGGGCAGACUAGAGUACUGCAGGGGAGACUGGAAUUCCUGGUGUAGCGGUGGAAUGCGCAGAUAUCAGGAGGAACACCGGUGGCGAAGGCGGGUCUCUGGGCAGUAACUGACGCUGAGGAGCGAAAGCGUGGGGGAGCGAACAGG